rnacentral:rRNA from 1 species
GAUGAACGCUGGCGGCGUGCCUAAUACAUGCAGGUCGAGCGAACGGACGAGAAGCUUGCUUCUCUGAUGUUAGCGGCGGACGGGUGAGUAACACGUGGAUAACCUACCUAUAAGACUGGGAUAACUUCGGGAAACCGGAGCUAAUACCGGAUAAUAUUUUGAACCGCAUGGUUCAAAAGUGAAAGACGGUCUUGCUGUCACUUAUAGAUGGAUCCGCGCUGCAUUAGCUAGUUGGUAAGGUAACGGCUUACCAAGGCAACGAUGCAUAGCCGACCUGAGAGGGUGAUCGGCCACACUGGAACUGAGACACGGUCCAGACUCCUACGGGAGGCAGCAGUAGGGAAUCUUCCGCAAUGGGCGAAAGACUGACGGAGCAACGCCGCGUGAGUGAUGAAGGUCUUCGGAUCGUAAAACUCUGUUAUUAGGGAAGAACAUAUGUGUAAGUAACUGUGCACAUCUUGACGGUACCUAAUCAGAAAGCCACGGCUAACUACGUG